UGAAGGAAUGCUAAAACGAAGCAGUCGUGAAGUAUAAAUUUAAUCAAAAUCUGUGUCUUUAGGUUUUCUGACACACUGAGUUUAAUUUUGGGGAUUGUCGAACGCGAAGCAAAUCACAUGCAGAUUAGAGAUUUACGAAAGGUUUACCUACUAUACUACUGGUCUCCGUCAUGGCCAGCCGGUUACGUAGUGACUUGUGUGGAUUACAAUGCUAGCUUUAAAUUAAAUUUAAGACGGCUUUCUAGAAGUACAGUCAGAGUCAUAGAAGGCCCUCUAUGACUCUGGUACAGUCUUUAUAAUAACUUGUAAGCCCCCGCCCCAACAGCUUAUUUUGUGAUUUUGGAAAUUGAAAGAGAAUAAAUUGCUCACCAACUUCUACGUCACAAGUCAUCUUAUCGGACUUUUAAAGACUGGAACACUGCGUAAGAAAAAAAAAAGCGUGUUGUCCCUUGCCUAUUAAUUUAUUUACUAAAUGAAAAGAUUGCAGAGAUUCUGAAACAGCUUUAUGUUAGAAUCAAAGGUUGCUAUUUGCCCCCGUAUCUACUCGUUUACUGGUAAUAGUUUCCGAAAUGAAUGCAUAUUCAGACACGCCAUUUGGUCAUUGCAAAACUCAUCUCGAAUGCCAAUUCCAGCUGUGGCGGAGUAACUGACGUCCCUUUAAGAUCGUUGACAGUCAAAUUCGUCGUUGCGUAACACUUAAAUUUCUUUCGCAACCAAUUCCUAUUGCUGGUCACCGUGCAUCAAUCUGUCAACUUUGAUCAACAAUUCGGAGAAUUUUACAUAUAUUACGACAUGUCUGAUGCCUUUCCACAUCCAAACUUUCAUUCGACGAGAGCAUUUGGUCUCAAUUGAUCUUACGUAGCACUCGAUGCAACAACAAGCAAAGUCAAGCUAUAUCCUUUUUCUAUAUUGGAUUCCAUUCUCGGAAACAAGUCUGCUGUGUUCAAGUACAACACAAACAGCAAUAGCAAUGGCGUUACUGCCAGAAACGGGUAGCCAAUUUUGAAACUGCCAAAUGAUUCAGAAUUUGUGGGGGGCGUAACGAUAACAAACGAGUUGGAAGCCUUGAAAUUAAGCGCCAUUACGACUUUAGCAGACGAAAAAAGAAUACAUUUUGCAGACGAUGUGUUACGCCAAAGCAGAUCCAUCAAAUCGACGGGGAAACUUCAAUCCAAUUCGUCCGAGCUGCAAACCCAAAUUCAAUCAGCUGAUUGCUGCACACAUACUGUUCGCCAGGACGUGAUCAAAACAAAAAGAAAAAACCUUGUCUUGACGGCUUUUUCAUCGCUGCAAUGGCCGUUGCUAAUUGAAGAGAAAGUCGCAGUUCAAAGUCGGCCUGUUAUUUGGCCUCUAGUUUUCCCUCGCCACUCAAAACGUCUUGCUAAUUCCGCCGAAUGUUGACAGACGGGAGACGUGGAAAGAGAAUUCCUCCUUGUUCCAGCAUCGUAGCUACGCGUUCCUGCGAAUUGUUUGCCGCCCAUUAAACGACCAUGUCUGACGACCUCAUAAAAGGACUCGUCGGCUCUUUCAUUCACAAUUCCCACAAGGACAAAGGGACUUCACGGAUUAAAUACCCUGUUUGUUUUUUCCUUUGUCUUGUCAUCCGACAUUUCCAGGAUACGAGUCAACACCACCACCAACAAUGUCAUAAAUCGGAACGGUUCGUCUCACGUAGAUGAAAACCUUUGCGGAAUAUUCAACGAAUCAAAAUCUGGCAAUUGUUGUUUUUAUCGACUCUAUUUUGAAACCAACAUUAUAACUGAAAUUUAAAUAGCCUCGGUUUAUGCAAGACAUAGUGCCCUUGUGGAGAGCUGUACUCAUCACAUAUAGUGACUCUUGAAAGACAAAUAUCAAAGCUGAAUUCUCCUAUAUACUCCGAUAGACUCCGGGAGAAAGGGAAAAAAGAAAAAAAUAUGGAAAUCCAGUUAUGGAUGGAUUCUCAACUUUCAACGCAGUCUAGAGGAACGGAUGGUAAGAGACGUGAGUGCCUGCCUGCCUCCUUUUUUUCCUACUUUCCUAUAUUAACUCCUCCGGAUAUUGGGAUAACAAGUGCAGAAAAAAAAAGCUUUGUACUACUUUUCUCUUAAAUGAGGUGAAAACCUUUUAUCCUCGCAGCGCUUCACAUCUAUCGAUAGCAAAAGAAAGAAAAGCCUCUUCUGAAAAUAGAAUAAGUCACAUGUCUAAUGAAAAAAAAAAAGGCCAUUUUUCUGCGAAUUCCAUUUUUGGCCCUUUUUGGGGGGAGCGUUUUCUUCUUGUUUUAGACGCCCACCGUGUCCUAAUCAUUUUUCUGAGAGCAGUCCCUUCCAUCGUCGCAUGUACAUAACAUCAGGUUAAAGAAAGAGUAAAGUUUGUUGCUACGAACGACGCACCGUAUACGAAGAGCGGGGGGUUCCAUUCAAUUACGUCGCCAUUAAUAUUCGCCUCAUGCACGGCAAAAGUGUGUAGGUUGAAAAAGAGCAUCAGUCUGUGUCUGCUUCAAUCCACCUCUCAUCCGCCGGGAUAUGGAGAAUAUAAUGUCGCCGUCAAGUGAAAGCCAAUGUAAUUGGUUGUAGGCAGUGCUAUAAUUUGGUUGGUCACGCAAAGUCACGCGUAAUUGACUUUACGAUGAAAGGGCUUCAUAAAGCUAUAUGGCAAUCUCAAUUCAUCAUUUGCCGGAAGCCAAACACCAUCCAACAAAAAGAAAAUUUUGUUUUCUUACCCCCCCCCCCCUUAUGUUUUUGUUUUUUUUUUGUUAUCUUUAAAGAAGAUAAAUACUGAUAUAAUAUUAGUUGUGCAAUCGGUUACGAUAGCGAAUGUUUAGGGACUCGUGUACAAGUGAUAGCGAGUUUCCGAUGGAUCAAUAUUUGUUCUAUAAGUUGCGUGUAACAAUGGCCAAGUUGCUUUUAGCCAGAUGGAUGUCUACGCACACACGGGCCCGAGUCCCAUUCUUCCGCUUCUAUCAACAAUACGGGCCGGAAUGUGUGUGUCUACGUUGAACAUGUCGAAAGGUAAAGUGAAUCUGAGCAACAAAAAAGAGGCUUCCAUCACCAACACGUACAAAGUAGAGGCUCCAUGAGACGGAUAUCGGAAAUCGUAGAGUCGAAUGUAAAACAAAAGGCCCGUGGGUUUCUAUUUUUCUAUAGGCGUUUUUUUUUUAAAAAAAGUUUUGGAUAAAGUUCAAGGUAAAGAAAAAUAAAUAAAAGAUCUAAUGUUUUCGAAGAGAUCGAUCAAGUCCGCCGUAGUUGAAAGAAAGAGAAUAGUGCAGAGGAAAGGGAGAGCUUUUUUUUGUCCAUUUCAGCUACAGCGACCUAAAAAUCAAAGUUGAUCGUCCGUUUUCCAUUGAUGUGACAUGUACACGUUCGCUUGCACGCCGUUCGUUCCCAGUUUCGCUGAACCACAUUUCAAAGGUAUACAAUUGUUCUUCUACGCCAAGUUCAUUUAGAUUGAAGGGCCCAUCUAAUUAUGCAUAUACCAUUAGAAUAUAGAAUCGCGCAGUUAUUCCGCAUUAGACUUUUGCUCUGUAUCUCUUUAAUGCUAUGAGUUACGCAAGCGUUGUUAUCAAAAGUUGUGCGGACCACUGAGCAACCGUUUGCAGUGCUGACACGAGCGCGAAAUGCACCAAUUGGCCGUUUAAAAAAACAAACAAAAGACGUGAAUCACAGUGUAUAAGAAACCAAGCGUGCCUGUACACAUAGCCAAAGGAGAAAAACCAAAGAAAAACAAAAACUGGGACAAAAGAGAAACUUAAUAUCACACAAACAGUAGGAGGAAAAGUUGCCAAGAUGGAGAUCAUUUCGCAAACAUGCCUCCCAGGACUCGGCUAUUUAAUGAAAAUAAGCAUAACGGCGGAAUCAGCUUUUUGGCAUUUUGCAAACGUACCGCAAGAGGACAUGGCAUUUAUUGCUUUUUAUCAUCAUGCUCGACUUCUUUCUUUCUUUUUUUCGGAUGCGGAAUUAUUGAUCCAUGUUAUAUCAGCUGUUUUUUUUUACUUCUUAGAUCCUGCAUUUUAUUAUUUCUUUAAAAAAAAAAUACUGAACUUGCUGGGCAACGGAUUGUUCAUCCGUCGUCCGCGCUAUUCCGCAUCCUUACGUUUCACGCAUCCGCCGCUCAUUUUUUUUUUUUUAAAGAUUGGGUUUUAUAUUUUUAAAAAAGGGGAGGGGGGGAUUUCCGCCAUCAAAUCACGUUGUUUUCCGUUUGCUGUCUUUCAGCAAAAAGCAGAGUGAUUAAAUUCUCGUAUUAUGCAGAUAUCCAUUAUUCCUGAUGGCUCUUGUUAUGUUCCCCCCUUCUACAUCCAAUUUGAUAUCGAAUUAUGAGCUCCUUUGAAGGAUGUGACGGAAGCGAUGUUCUAAUGUUUUUUUUUUUUGUUUUCCCCUCCCCCUCGCUCCGAGUUUUUGUUUGUUUGUUUUUUUAAUGCGUUAGCCAUGACAUAAAAUAAACAGCCACACCCACCCGAACAAUUUAAUAAGUUGGCCGACAACAAGUUGAAAAGCUUUUUUUUUCCGGGGGAGGAUUCUCUUCAUCGAGACAAUAAAUCCAGCGGAAGUAAAACGCGGAGAUGACGGAGAUCUAUUUAUAUAUUCACUCAAAAUCUCUCGUUAUUUGGCUCUGUUUUCUAAAGUUCUUCUUUCCCAUCAGUUGGGUAUCGCUCAUAUGCUGCGCAAAUUCUAUAGGACGUUCAUUUUCCGUGUUUUGUCACCGAAAGGCUUCGCGUGAGCUCUCGGCCGAUUGAACGAGUUGAUCGUUUCCCGCUGUCAGCGCCAAUGAAUGCUUACUCUACUGAAAUGUGCUGCGUGUGUGUGGCCAUCAGAAACUCUUGGCCGUCUGGGGCUGAUGGAUAUGUAGUUCCUUUAAACCCUUGGCCUGCUUAUCGUCAAGCGCAUAGAUCCCCUAAGGCGAAUUACCCGCAAAGAAAAUACGCCCCGCAAAGGAAUACCCACCCUAUUUGUAAUGAACUGUCUGUCAGAGAUGCUGGCCUUGGCCGUCUUGAGAUUCACAAGGGAGUAAAACAAACAAAUAUAUAUAUAUAUAUAUAUAGAGGACUAGUGUUUCAAAAAUUCUGACACAUCUCGACAUUUA